rnacentral:lncRNA from 1 species
UGGUCACCAUCUUUGUCCUCUAUCAGGGAUUUAACUGGGGACUUCCAAAGCUAAAAACAAGCGCCUCCUCCACUUGAGUUGUCUCCAGUCUAGAUGAGAGAUCUAGAAGAUCCACGUGCUUUGUAGACCAGAGCACAGUGGGUGCCUCCUGUGGAUUUCCCAGUGUGCUGCACAGAUAUCACAGCACAAUGAGAGAACAGAAAAUUAAUUUCAUCCUUCUAGUAUUCCUAGAUCAGCAAUAUGUAACGUUUUCUUCAGAAAAUGUAGAACUCUCAGGUUCAGAGAGUUGGAAUAGAAGCUGCAGCCCCUCUACGCCAGUUCAGAGAUAG